rnacentral:piRNA from 1 species
UGGGUUACUGUGAGAACAUAGUGUUAAUC